GUACACUCCUACGGGAGGCAGCAGUGGGGAAUUUUGGACAAUGGGGGCAACCCUGAUCCAGCAAUGCCGCGUGAGUGAAGAAGGCCUUCGGGUUGUAAAGCUCUUUUGUCAGGGAAGAAACGGUGGUGGCGAAUAACUACUACUAAUGACGGUACCUGAAGAAUAAGCACCGGCUAACUACGUGCCAGCAGCCGCGGUAAUACGUAGGGUGCAAGCGUUAAUCGGAAUUACUGGGCGUAAAGCGUGCGCAGGCGGUUGUGUAAGUCAGAUGUGAAAUCCCCGGGCUCAACCUGGGAAUUGCAUUUGAGACUGCACGGCUAGAGUGUGUCAGAGGGGGGUAGAAUUCCACGUGUAGCAGUGAAAUGCGUAGAUAUGUGGAGGAAUACCGAUGGCGAAGGCAGCCCCCUGGGAUAACACUGACGCUCAUGCACGAAAGCGUGGGGAGCAAACAGGAUUAGAAACCCGGGUAGUCCCAUGA
rnacentral:rRNA from 1 species